UACAGAGGUGGCAAGCGUUGUUCGAAAUUACUGGGCGUAAAGGGCGCGUAGGCGGCCUUCUAAGUCAGACGUGAAAUCCCCCGGGCUCAACCUGGGAACUGCGUCUGAUACUGGAUGGCUUGAGUUUGGGAGAGGGAUGCGGAAUUCCGAGGUGUAGCGGUGAAAUGCGUAGAGUAUCUGGAGGAACACCGGUGACGAAGGCGGC
rnacentral:rRNA from 1 species